GAGCGCAACCCUUGUCCUUAGUUACCAGCACGUUAUGGUGGGCACUCUAAGGAGACUGCCGGUGACAAACCGGAGGAAGGUGGGGAUGACGUCAAGUCAUCAUGGCCCUUACGGCCUGGGCUACACACGUGCUACAAUGGUCGGUACAAAGGGUUGCCAAGCCGCGAGGUGGAGCUAAUCCCAUAAAACCGAUCGUAGUCCGGAUCGCAGUCUGCAACUCGACUGCGUGAAGUCGGAAUCGCUAGUAAUCGUGAAUCAGAACGUCACGGUGAAUACGUUCCCGGGCCUU
rnacentral:rRNA from 1 species